rnacentral:rRNA from 1 species
UACGUAGGUGGCAAGCGUUGUCCGGAUUUACUGGGCGUAAAGAGCGCGCAGGCGGUCGUUCAAGUCGCGUGUGAAAGCCCCCGGCUCAACUGGGGAGGGUCACGCGAUACUGAUCGACUCGAAGGCAGGAGAGGGAAGUGGAAUUCCCGGUGUAGUGGUGAAAUGCGUAGAUAUCGGGAGGAACACCAGUGGCGAAGGCGGGUCUCUGGGCCGACAUUGACGCUGAGGAGCGAAAGCGUGGGGAGCGAACAGG